rnacentral:sRNA from 1 species
GCCGGGCAUGGUGGCGCAUGCCUGUAGUCCCAGCCACUUGGGAGGCUGAGGCAGAAGGAUUGCUUGAGCCAGGAGAUUGAGGUUGCUGUGAGCUAGGCUGACGCCAUGGCAUUCACUCUAGCCUAGGCAACAGAGCGAGACUCUGUCUCAAAAAAAAAAAAUAUAUAUAUAUAUAUUUACAAUUUACCAAGCCAAGAGCUGCAGGGUAUAUACCACAAUCACAGCUACUCAGGAGGUUUUGGUAAGAGGAUCACUUGCGUCCAGGAGUCUGAGACUAACCUGGGCAACAUAGCAAGACACUAUCUCA